UACGGAGGAUCCGAGCGUUAUCCGGAAUUAUUGGGUUUAAAGGGUGCGUAGGCGGCCGAUUUAAGUCAGCGGUGAAAUUUUGCAGCUUAACUGUAAACAGUGCCGUUGAUACUGUUUGGCUAGGAUUUGGUUGUAGUGUGCGGAAUGUGUGGUGUAGCGGUGAAAUGCAUAGAUAUCACACAGAAUACCAAUUGCGAAGGCAUCUCACAAAGCCAUUAUUGACGCUGAGGCACGAAAGUGUGGGGAUCAAACAGGAUUA
rnacentral:rRNA from 1 species